AGCUUCAAACAUUGCAGGCUCUGCUCAAGCAUUUAUUAUUGGCUUCGCAUUUUCAUUUCUUCUAACAUUAUUCUGAAUUGGGAAUUUGUGCGUAUUUGUGAGAUUUUCAGAGUUUUUGCAGUUUGAUUUCCUUUAUUCAAAUGUUUUAAUCAUACAUGGUAUUUGUGGUAGCAUUAGUGAUUAAUAUAUAUGUUGGAGUUGUUUAAUUUAUUUCAUGUAAAAGGAUUAUUAUUAUUAUUA
rnacentral:misc_RNA from 1 species